GGCUGGGAUCCAGCACCUGUGCUGUGACUCAUGGAACAUGCAGCCUCUAGUUCCUGGGCUAUCUCCCCCAGCUCAGCAGAUAGACGCAGACAACCCGACACCCUUCCAGCCACACAGGGCAGCCACUUGGAGGACCUCAGUUCUGGAGCAGUGUUGGGUUUUGCCUGUGGGAACUCUGUCACCUCUCUUGGAUCUGCACUCUGACCUUUGCAGCUCGACAGGGACAGAGCUGAAGGAGGGACCUGCAGGAAAGACGCACCUAAAAGAAGCCAUGCACGGAACAAUCCUGCUCCUUUUGGCCUGUCCUAAAGGUUCCUUGUGGCUGGUGCCAAGUGCUGUUCCGAACACUACCUACACUCACCGCUUUAAUCUGCACAUCUCCGCUCCUCGGGUUUACAAGUCAUCCUUGGAAUCCAGCAGAGAAGUCAAAGGACUUGCCCAAGAUAACAGAUAGAGAAGUUGAUGUCCAGACUUGAAGACUCCGCUGAAGGUCACCCAACCAGAAACGGUAAAUAACGCCUCACUUUACGACUACAAACGAGGGAAAUGUCAUAAAGCGGGGCAAGCGAACACUCAGAAGCAAAUGGAAAUGUUGGUUUUCCUCCCUCCGGCCGUCCUGUCCAGUGCUACCGAGGCCUAGGGUCCCAGUGGCCCCGCCAAGCUCUGGUUCCCGACGCCGGCCCACAGUUUUCUGGCUUCCUUUCCCACCCUGGGGGGAGCUCGGCCUCUCUCUGAGAAGCCUGUCCCAGAGCCAGGCCUGGAAAAACAACAGCGAGAAACUUUGGCAGGGUUUGCAGCUCAGUG
rnacentral:lncRNA from 1 species